UGUGAGGCUGAUGUGUAGGCAAAUCCGCACAUCGUUUAGGCUGGGCUGUGAUGGGGAGCGAAAAUUGCAGUAGCGAAGCUCAUGAGUUCAGGCUGCCAAGAAAAGCCUCUAGCCAGGUGAAGGUGCCCGUACCGCAAACCGACACAGGUAGGCGAGCAGAGUAUGCUAAGGCGCUCGGAAGAACUCUCGUUAAGGAACUCGGCAAAAUGACCCCGUAACUUCGGGAGAAGGGGUGCCUCGGUAGGGUGAAUAGCCCGAGGGGGCCGCAGUGAAAAGGCCCAAGCGACUGUUUAGCAAAAACACAGGUCUGUGCGAAGCCGUAAGGCGAAGUAUACGGGCUGACGCCUGCCCGGUGCUGGAAGGUUAAGGGGAGUGGUUAGCCGUAAGGCGAAGCUAUGAACCGAAGCCCCAGUAAACGGCGGCCGUAACUAUAACGGUCCUAAGGUAGCGAAAUUCCUUGUCAGGUAAGUUCUGACCCGCACGAAUGGCGUAACGACUUGGGCGCUGUCUCAACGAGAGAUCCGGUGAAAUUUUAAUACCUGUGAAGAUGCAGGUUACCCGCGACAAGACGGAAAGACCCCAUGGAGCUUUACUGCAGCUUGAUAUUGGACUUUGGUACGAUCUGUACAGGAUAGGUGGGAGCCUUGGAAACCGGAGCGCCAGCUUCGGCGGAGGCAUCGUUGGGAUACCACCCUGAUCGUAUCGGAGUUCUAACCUGGUACCGUGAUCCGGUACAGGGACCGUGUCAGGUGGGCAGUUUGACUGGGGCGGUCGCCUCCUAAAAUGUAACGGAGGCGCCCAAAGGUUCCCUCAGAAUGGUUGGGAAUCAUUCGUAGCGUGCAAAGGCAUAAGGGAGCUUGACUGCGAGACCUACAAGUCGAGCAGGGACGAAAGUCGGGCUUAGUGAUCCGGUGGUACCGCAUGGAAGGGCCAUCGCUCAACGGAUAAAAGCUACCCUGGGGAUAACAGGCUUAUCUCCCCCAAGAGUCCACAUCGACGGGGAGGUUUGGCACCUCGAUGUCGGCUCAUCGCAUCCUGGGGCUGAAGUAGGUCCCAAGGGUUGGGCUGUUCGCCCAUUAAAGCGGUACGCGAGCUGGGUUCAGAACGUCGUGAGACAGUUCGGUCCCUAUCUGUCGUGGGCGUAGGAAAUUUGAGAGGAGCUGUCCUUAGUACGAGAGGACCGGGAUGGACGCACCGCUGGUGUACCAGUUGUUCCGCCAGGAGCAUAGCUGGGUAGCUACGUGCGGACGGGAUAAGCGCUGAAAGCAUCUAAGCGUGAAGCCCCCCUCAAGAUGAGAUUUCCCAGUAUGUAAGACCCCUGGAAGACGACCAGGUUGAUAGGUUCGAGGUGGAAGCGCAGCAAUGCGUGGAGCUGACGAAUACUAAUCGGUCGAGGGCUUAUCCA
rnacentral:rRNA from 1 species